AGUCUCCAGGCAACAGAAAACAUUGUCUCUCGUUUCACCACAGGGGGUACUGUCGUUCAGAAUCCCUUGCUUCAGGAUGACGCUACGACGCGUCACUGCAACCAGAAAAUACAGUAUAGCUGUUCAAAUGAAACUUUAUGCACAACAAGCGGAUCUAGUGUGACUAAACGUAGAUACUGUAGUUAUGUUAACAUGACAGCCAUUGAAACAUCUUCUUGUUUGCAAAGCCUGAUUUGUCCAUCCAUGCAGAUAACAUGCUCCGGACUCUGUUGUGCGGUCUGAGGAUACAGCAGCCUUUUGAGGAGUAGAACAUGUUCCUAUGGCUUCACCCCUGUCAAUCUGUCAGACCCUGUCCAGCUGCAUGUGACUCCACCUAGAACUCUAUUCUAUCUAUAUGUUCAUCGUGGGACCUGUCAUUCAAACACACACUCCCAACAGCGUCAGAGGACUAUCAGAGGAGACAGGAAGCGAGAUGUUUCGUAAUGUGUCACCAUGUUUCAGCGCCGGUGUUGUAUCGCUGUCAGCUAUCAUUGGUCAUUCCACCUCCACCAGACAGUUGGGUGUCAGUAUACAGAGGAGGCUCUAUUCAACGGCCCCUAUUAAAUCAGUGACCAUGCCUGGAAGUGGGAAGAAACUUCCUAAAGGCCCUAGGACCAAACAACCAUCCAGAACCAAUCAGCCGACCCCAAAGGAGGACAAGGUGAUGCCGUCCACCAAUCAGAUUAGAGGACUGGGAGAUGCCUAAUGGAUGUAUCUAUUUGUAUUUUUUGUAAUAAAAAAAUUAUUAUAAUAAUAAUAUUCCCUAGGGUUAUUCAACAAUCAAAAUGAUUUGUAGCUCAAUGACUGUCAACACAGUUACAUGCUUGGUUCGACACUGAAGGAGAUGACGCAUCAGUUGUCACAAAUAUGAGGCAUUUUCGGGAAGGUAGAAAGAAUUGCGAAUGUGCGAUUCGUCACGUUUGAAUCGGUUUUCUGACUGAUGCAUGCUACAUUUGGAUGGGUUUGGGGUCCGUGGACCGACGCAGUCCUAUUUUAAACAUUUUAAUAAGGGACUGAUGCGUAUCGGUGAGUCAUUACAUCCCCAUCAUUAAUAUAUGCAUGUUUUUUGGGGCUUUAUAUGCUUGGAGCAGCAGGUGUUUUAGCUUUAUAUGCUUGGAGCCGCAGGUCAUUUAGAAGAUGCCAAUUGUCUGUGGUCUUGCCAUGUCAAAUGUUAUUCACAUUCAUAUGAGCCAUGAAGAUCUACAGCACAUACAUUUGGUGACAGCUGUCAUCUCCUUUUAUGAAGUUUGUUGUGUGUUUGAUUUGAUAAAAUAAAGUAGACUGAACUAA